rnacentral:ncRNA from 1 species
AACACCCACGGGGGAGAGACCGCCCAGCUGUACCCGGGCGGCGCCGAAGGGGCAAAUCCUCCCCGGAACCUCUCAGGCAAAAGGACCUCGUGGGCAGG